AUUGAACGCUGGCGGCAGGCUUAACACAUGCAAGUCGAGCGGGGGAAGGUAGCUUGCUACUGGACCUAGCGGCGGACGGGUGAGGAAUGCUUAGGAAUCUGCCUAUUAGCGGGGGACAACAUCUCGAAAGGGAUGCUAAUACCGCAUACGUCCUACGGGAGAAAGCAGGGGAUCUUCGGACCUUGCGCUAAUAGAGAAGCCUAAGUCGGAUUAGCUAGUUGGUGGGGUAAAGGCCCACCAAGGCGACGAUCUGUAGCGGGUCUGAGAGGAUGGUCCGCCACACUGGGAGUGAGAGACGACCCCGCCUCCUACGGGAGGUAGCAGUGGGGAAUAGUGGACAAUGGGGGGAACCCUGAUCCAGCCAUGCCGCGUGUGUGAAGAAGGCCUUAUGGUUGUAAAGCACUUUAAACGAGGAGGAGGCUACUUUAGUUAAUACCUAGAGAUAGUGGACGUUACUCGCAGAAUAAGCACCGGCUAACUCUGUGCCAGCAGCCGCGGUAA
rnacentral:rRNA from 1 species